rnacentral:SRP_RNA from 1 species
CAUCGGUCCCCUCGCAACGUGAAACCGUGAACCCGGUCAGGCCCGGAAGGGAGCAGCCGCAGCGGUGGAAUCGGGUGCCGGGGUGUGGCUGGUGUAG